ensembl:lncRNA
GAUUCUUCUAUUUACUGUCGAUCAUAUGCAAAGUCUUACAGCAAAACACAGAAAGAAGUGUCAAGAGGGUGGAGGUGGGUCUCACACUGAAUUCGGGAGGAGCAAAUGAAGCUGCAACGGCUUACAAGGAAAUCAAUUUCCUUGUAAAUCACACAAGACUAAGGUUGGCAUGUCAUUAUAAAUCCAGAACUAAGCACGACGUGCCCCACUGCAGUACCUCUCCCUGGUUUAUGAAUUGGUCUGAAAAUUGUUUCGAUGUCAAAACAUUCACACAAGUGAAAUAUUUAUUAGUGUAACUGCCACAUGAGGAGGAACCGAGACCACUAUCUAUAGCAGCAAUAACCGUAAAAAAAAAGAGCCUGACAUUUAGCAGGAGACUAAUAAAGACAUUUCUCAGGAGUCUUUAGUAUAGCUGGGACCGUGAGUGUUAAUUUCCAUAAUGCUGUGUUGUUGUCAUUAAUGAAUGUGCUAAUGAUUUCUUAAUUCUUCAUUUAGACUGAUAAUUGCUGAUUAGAAUGUCUGGGAAUGGAGAUCAACUGAUUUACACCAUCUCCCACUCUGGCCGAGGGUUCUGAAGGUUGCACCUGGGAUGAACAUUCCUAUUGCCGACAGAUGCAUAAACGCAAACACAAUUGUUCCAAGAUUCCCUCUUCCUAUAGAUUACAAAUUACACUGAGAGGCAGGGAUAAGAGGUGGUGUAGAAGGCAGUGGGUGCGGCAGAUUUCCCCUUAUAAAAUCUGGUAUAUGUCUUCCACUGUUCAUUCAAAAGAGUAGAAGGCAGAAGAACGAGAGUACCACAAAAGUGUAACAGAUAUAUAUAGCCGCUGCAUCCAUCAUACAGCAGCAAAAGGUGUGUGUAUCCACAUAUAUACAUACGUACACCUAUAUAUGUGUAUAUGUAUAUACACAAAAUUCCUUUAUAAAACAAAUUCUUGAGGGCAAUAGUUUUUAACCAGUGGUCCAUAAUUCUUAAAUUUGAAACUGGAUUACUUUUAAAGGUUCCAUAAACAUAAUUCAAGCAAAAUGUGCUUCUUGCCAGCAGACUUAAAUCAGUCUCAUGUCGCUUAAAAAUUAUUCUAGGCCUAAAAGAAAAACAGCUGAAACUCCACUGUUUUAAGAAAUUCCAGACAUGAUAAGCUCUAAUCUUCAGUUAAUUCCAAAGGACCAUUAUACUGAACUCUCUGGAAAAUGGUAUUUCUGUUCUCUUUUAACCAGGGCUCUAUGCAUUAAUAUAGUCUUAUUAAUACUAUGACCUCUGGAUGUUAUCUUUAAGAACAUCAGAAGUUGUUCUUUUGCUUGGCUGGCUGCUUUUCCUGUUGCAUUUUAAAACGGUUUCUUGCGUAUUGCUUAAAAUGGAAUUUGGAGGCUGUGUUGCCAGUCGUGGCUGCAGAAACAGCACUGAAGCCAAAUACAAUAAAUCACUCCAGUACAUCUUUCAGCUGUAAUCUAUAUUAAUUAUUUGAAAAUCAAUUUAUGGCUAUUUUAUUGUGCUUUUAUGCAAACAGAUACCCAGGAGCUACAAAUACGCAUCCUGCUAGCUGUGUCAAGUGCAUACUUCUUGGAAGCAACAUUGCUAUUCCUCCCUUCCUGACACAGGUAGAAAUGAAUUUGAAAGAACAUCCUUUAAUAAAUAAUUACUGGUUUUCCCUUUCUCAGAAUUCGGCUACACAAAUCUGUGCACGGUCACAUAUCAAAGUAUCUCCAGCUGGGCAGCAUUAAGAGUACAGGAGAGAGGAAUUGUGAGUGUAAAGGAUCACCCAGAGCAAUUUCUACUUUACUUCUAUGCCACCCGUAACUGACCUUCGUCAGAGGAAGUCUCCUGGCCAGCUGCUCAUUCCUCCUCUCCUUCUCAGCUGCCCACGCCUGUGGGGCAAAGGGGCGAGAACACAUAGCUGCAGGUAGGCAAGAACAUGCAGUAACAGCAUACACUGCUUAUUGUUGGCUG